GACGAACGCUGGCGGCGUGGAUUAGGCAUGCAAGUCGAACGGUAUCAUCCUUUCGGGGGUGAGAGAGUGGCGAACUGGUGAGUAACACGUAGGUUAUCUACCCUCAAGACGGGGACAACCCAGGGAAACUUGGGCUAAUACCGGAUGUGAGCAACUUUUAGUUGUUUGAAAGGUGGCGUAAGCUGUCGCUUGGGGAUGAGCCUGCGUCCUAUUAGUUAGUUGGUGAGGUAACGGCUCACCUAGGCAAUGAUAGGUAGGCGGCCUUAACGGGUGGUCGCCCACACUGGGAUUGAGAUACGGCCCAGACUCCUACGGGAGGCAGCAGUCGAGAAUAGUCUACAAUGGUCGGAAGACUGAUAGUGCGACGCCGCGUGAACGAUGAAUCCCUUCGGGGGUGUAAAAGUUCUUUUAUAUGUGAGCAGUGCUUCUUAUAUUAACAGUAUGGGGAAGAGAUAUUAGCAUAUGAAUAAGCAACGGCUAAACUCCGUGCCAGCAGCCGCGGUAAUA
rnacentral:rRNA from 1 species